GAUGAAGAACGUAGCGAAAUGCGAUAAGUAAUGUGAAUUGCAGAAUUCAGUGAAUCAUCGAAUCUUUGAACGCAUCUUGCGCUCCUUGGUAUUCUGAGGAGCAUGCCUGUUUGAGUGUCAUUAAAUUCUCAACUACACUGACUUUGAAUUGGUGUGGCUUGGAUUUGGGGGGAAAAUUGUUGUGGGCUUUUUGUAUAGUCUGCUCCCCUGAAAUUGAUUAGCGGUACCUUUGUGGAACUGUCUACAGGUGUGAUAAUUAUCUACAGCUUAGACAUCUGCUGGAAUGCUGCAUUCUAAACCUUACUUGUAUUGACAAUCUUGACCUCAAAUCAGGUAGGACUACCCGCUGAACUUAAGCAUAUCAAUAAGCGGAGGA
rnacentral:misc_RNA from 1 species